AACGAACGCUGGCGGCAUGCCUAACACAUGCAAGUCGAACGAGACCUUCGGGUCUAGUGGCGCACGGGUGCGUAACGCGUGGGAACCUGCCCUUAGGUUCGGAAUAACUCCCCGAAAGGGGUGCUAAUAACGGAUAAUGUCUUAGGACCAAAGAUUUAUCGCCUUUGGAUGGGCCCGCGUUGGAUUAGCUAGUUGGUAGGGUAAAAGCCUACCAAGGCGACGAUGCAUAGCUGGUCUGUGAGGAUGAUCAGCCACACUGGGACUGAGACACGGCCCAGACUCCUACGGGAGGCAGCAGUGGGGAAUAUUGGACAAUGGGCGAAGGCCUGAUCCAGCAAUGCCGCGUGAGUGAUGAAGGCCUUAGGGUUGUAAAGCUCUUUUACCCGGGAUGAUAAUGACAGUACCGGGAGAAUAAGCACCGGCUAACUCCGUG
rnacentral:rRNA from 1 species